rnacentral:rRNA from 1 species
CACGUAGGAGGCGAGCGUUGUCCGGAAUCAUUGGGCGUAAAGAGCGCGCAGGCGGCUUGGCAAGUCGGGUGUGAAAUCCCGGGGCUCAACCCCGUGACUGCAUCCGAUACUGUCAGGCUAGAGGUAGGUAGGGGAGAUCGGAAUUCCUGGUGUAGCGGUGGAAUGCGUAGAUAUCUGGAGGAACACCGGUGGCGAAGGCGGCAUACUGGACCACUACUGACGCUGAUGCGCGAAAGCCAGGGGAGCAAACGGG